rnacentral:lncRNA from 1 species
ACAGCAUCUGCUGUUCUCAAAACUAUCUUCUUUCAAGGGACUGCUCCCCAUCUCCCUGCAAGUUUUACUUAGAACAAAGGGAAUGCUUUAUUCAAAUGGAAGAUCCUAAAGAGGUCACUUCUCAAUCUUCCCUUAAGGUGCCAGUAAAUACUCUCCACGGUAUUCUGCUCCCUGCCUGCCUCCAGAUGAUAUGACAGCAUAGGGAAG